GACGAACGCUGGCGGCGUGCUUAACACAUGCAAGUCGAACGGAAAGGCCCCUUUGGGGGUACUCGAGUGGCGAACGGGUGAGUAACACGUGAGUAACCUGCCCUUGACUUCGGGAUAACUUCAGGAAACUGGGGCUAAUACCGGAUAGGAAUCCUUGCUGCAUGGUGGGGGUUGGAAAGCUUCGGCGGUUUUGGAUGGACUCGCGGCUUAUCAGCUUGUUGGUGGGGUAGUGGCUUACCAAGGCUUUGACGGGUAGCCGGCCUGAGAGGGCGACCGGCCACAUUGGGACUGAGAUACGGCCCAGACUCCGACGGGAGGCAGCAGGGGGGAAUAUUGCACAAUGGGCGGAAGCCUGAUGCAGCAACGCCGCGUGCGGGAUGACGGCCUUCGGGUUGUAAACCGCUUUCAGCAGGGGCGAAGCUUGUGGUGACGGUACCUGCAGAAGAAGCACCGGCUAACUACGUG
rnacentral:rRNA from 1 species